CAGCCCCUCGAGUGGUGGGGAUGAUUAUUUGGCCUAAAGCGUCCGUAGCCGGCCGAGUAAGUCCCCCGUUAAAUCCAGCGUCUCAAGCGUUGGACUGCGGGAGAUACUACUUGGCUAGAGAGUGAGAGAGGUCAGCGGUAUUCUGGGGGUAGGGGCGAAAUCCUUUGAUCCCCGGAGGACCACCAGUGGCGAAGGCUGCUGACUAGAACACGUCUGACGGUCAGGGACGAAAGCUGGGGUAGCGAACCGGAUUAGAGACCCGAGUAGUCC
rnacentral:rRNA from 1 species